rnacentral:rRNA from 1 species
UACGUAGGGUGCAAGCGUUAAUCGGAAUUACUGGGCGUAAAGCGUGCGCAGGCGGUUAUGUAAGACAGGUGUGAAAUCCCCGGGCUUAACCUGGGAACUGCAUUUGUGACUGCAUAGCUAGAGUACGGUAGAGGGGGAUGGAAUUCCGCGUGUAGCAGUGAAAUGCGUAGAUAUUGGGAGGAACACCAGUGGCGCAAGCGGCUAUCUGGACUGACAUUGACGCUGAGGCACGAAAGCGUGGGGAUCAAACAGG